rnacentral:rRNA from 1 species
GAAGCCAUGCAUGCCCGCUCACCCGGGACGCGGCGGACGGCUCAGGACGACGGGUGCCCCCCCCGCGGCGGUCCCUGCUAGCCGGACACCGCUGGCAACCCGGCGCCAAGACGUGCGCGCAAGGGC